rnacentral:misc_RNA from 1 species
UGAUUACUCAAAAAGCAUGGCAUACGAACACCUAUAUCAACUUACCCAAAAAAAUAAAUUUAAAAAUAUCAUUUUUAUUAUUGGUGAAGAAUUUUAAAACCCCAUUUUUAUGGUUGGCCAAGUUAGUAUGUAAUUUUAUCUCUAUUUUGUUUCAAAUGAAUCAUUGGUGCAAGUCCUUUUCUUUUGGUACACCUUUAUCUCAUCUCUAUUGUAGGAUCAAUAUCCCCUGCAAUCCCAUUCUAAAAGAUAGAUCUUGAGUACAAGGAAAACUACCCUGGGAUAUCUCAUAAUGACCAGUCUUAAUUAUCACAGAAAAUCCCCAGCUCUGGAAUUAAGGAUUCAAGUUGUAUGACAUAAUAAUGGAAUUAAGGAUUCAAG